rnacentral:rRNA from 1 species
AUGCUCAAGGCGCUCAACCCCACCCCGAUCCGGCUCCGCCCGGCCUGCCGCGCAUCCUCGGCCGGGUGCGCGCGCGCGGCGCGGCGAGGAGGCCCUCGGAGGGCGGUCCCGCAGCAGCCGCCCGUGCGCCGGCCGUCCGGCGACCGGUGCGUGCCGUGGCGCGGCGCGGCGCCCUCGGGCCCCGCCGCGCCGCCCGCGUCCCCGGUCGCCGCCCCGGCGCCUGGGGCCCGGGCGGGGGCGAAGGGCGAGCUGGAGGCGUUCCUCGAGGUGGUGCCGGCCAGGAUGCGGCGGGAGCUGGCGCUGCACCCGGAGGUCUGGGAGCUGGUGGAGGUCGUCAUGGACCUUGGCCGCCGCCCGCUCGCGCGGUUCCCCUCCGGGGACUGGGUCAUCUCAGACCAGCCCGUCACCGCCGACGACCUCCGCCAGGCCGUCUCCAAGGUAGGCAAUUUCUCCGAGGACAACCGAUCCGGGAUCAACCACUCGUUGCACAGGAUCAGCGCCAUCCGAAACCGCAAGGCUAACAUAAUCGGUCUCACUUGCCGUGUCGGGCGAGCUAUAUCUGGCAGCGCGGAGAUGAUCCGUGAUCUGGUGGUGGGGGGCGGCUCCAUAUUGGUGAUUGGACCUCCUGGAGUAGGGAAGACCACUCUGAUCAGGGAAAUAGCUAGGAUCUUGGCAGAUGAGGGUAAGAAACGUGUGAUCAUAGUGGACACAUCUAAUGAAAUAGGAGGUGAUGGGGAUGUACCUCAUUCUGGCAUUGGGCGCUCUAGGAGAAUGCAAGUUCCUAAAGUUACGAUGCAGCAUAACGUGAUGAUUGAGGCUGUUGAAAAUCACAUGCCGGAAGUUAUUGUGAUCGAUGAGAUUGGUACAGAACUUGAAGCAAUGGCAGCCAGCACCAUUGCUCAAAGAGGCGUUCAACUUGUUGGAACUGCUCAUGGGGUGACAAUUGACAGCAUAAUUAAAAACCCUUGCCUGCAAAUGCUUGUUGGUGGGAUUGAGAGUGUGACUCUUGGCGAUGAAGAGGCAAAGAAGCGGAAAGUUCAGAAAACAAUUCUUGAGAGAAAAGGGCCCCCAACAUUUUCAUGUGCUGUUGAGAUGGUGUCGAAGACUGAAUGUCGAGUGCAUCACAAGUUAGAAUCUACAGUUGAUGCUAUUCUUGCAGGGAAGCCUCCCAAGUUUGAAGCUCGCAUGAUGGAUAGCAAGAUCACCGAGUCAGGAGGAUCUUUGGUGAUAUCUGAGAGAGUGUCUGAAACAGAGCGCUUACCUGCGUAUCAUCAAGAUCUGGUCACCAGGGCGGUUACAUCAGAAGAUAAAUUCAUCGAUGAUUUUGGUUCCUCCAGGCAAGCAAAAAGCAAGAACAUCCCAUCAGACGAUAAUGUCAAUGGAGAUUUUGGUUGUACAAAGAAAACAAAAGGCAAACAAUAUGUGUCUGGAAGGCCUCCAGUACGUGUUUACACUUACCAGGUUUCAGAAGCUGAUAUCUUGCAAGUAGCAACAGUGAUGGGUUUUGAGGAUGAAUUGGACAUAACAGAUGACAUUGAAGCAGCCAAUGUGAUUCUUGCGUCAAGUUCUGAAAUGAAGCAGAAUCCGUGGAUCCGUAAUGUUGCCAAGUACCACAAGCUUCCUAUAUUUGUUGUUAAGACAAAUACGAUGGCUCAGAUAGUAAAGGCUGUCAAAAUGAUUGUUGGAAGAGAUAAACUUGAUGCACCGUCGCGCAAGCAACCUAAAGUUUUGGAAGGAGAGAUAGAGAUUGAAGAUGAUGCUCCAAAACGGAAGCCAUCAUUGGAGGAAAUUGAUGCAUUGGAGAUAAAUCAUGGUAGUUGCAUAACAGCUAUAUUGUACUCUGCAACCAUUCAGGAGGCCCGGCUGGCAAUUGAGUACAUUGUAAUCCCAGGCGGGGAGCCCGUCGAACUCCUCCCAAGGUGUUCAGAGAUUGUUGCUCGUCAGCUGGAGCUUGUAGAGAGCUACCAGCUCCUCGCCGAGACCUUCGGAACCGACCCCAAUUCGAGGCUGCAGAUUCUUCCAGUGAAAAUAGCAAAGAAGAGCUCGGGUCAGGGCGCUCAGGGGCCGACGUCCACCAAGAAGAACGGCUCGGAUCUGAUUGUCAGCGAGAAUGGUGGAGGCUUCAGCUUCUCCCGGCUGCCAUUUCUGCCGAAGUGA